AAAUGCGAAAAAUAAAAAUCACACCGAGAUUUACGUAGAAAAAUUCCAACUUAGAGAAAAUCCACGGGACCAACACGCGAAAAAAUAAUUCACUAAGAGGAAAGAUACAAGGUGAUUACCGACUCCACAGACUUGACCUCUCUUAACCUCCUAUGAAUCUCACGCAAUACUCCUGGUUGUCCACGCCCUCACGUUCGACUCCAUGAACGCCACGUUCCGAAUCCACGAAAUGCCUCCACUCCGAAUCCACGAAGCUCACGAUCCGAAUCCACGAACCGCCGUCAAUCACGCCGAAUCCACGACGACGUUAUGAAGAACAUCAU
rnacentral:lncRNA from 1 species